rnacentral:rRNA from 1 species
UACAGAGGGUGCGAGCGUUAAUCGGAUUUACUGGGCGUAAAGGGCGCGUAGGUGGUAAAGAAAGUAAGAUGUGAAAGCCCUGGGCUUAACCUGGGAAGUGCAUCUUAAACUUCUUAACUAGAGUAUGGUAGAGGGUAGUGGAAUUUCCGGUGUAGCGGUGAAAUGCGUAGAGAUCGGAAGGAACGCCAGUGGUGAAGACGACUACCUGGACCAAUACUGACACUGAGGCGCGAAAGCGUGGGGAUCAAACAGG